GAUGAACGCUGGCGGCGUGCCUAACACAUGCAAGUCGAACGAGAAGCUAACUUCUGAUUCCUUCGGGAUGAUGAGGUUAGCAGAAAGUGGCGAACGGGUGAGUAACGCGUGGGUAAUCUACCCUGUUAAGUGGGGGAUAACCCUCCGAAAGGAGGGCUAAUACCGCAUAAUAUCUUCUCCUCUAAAAGAGGUAAAGAUUAAAGAUGGCCUCUAUACUAUGCUAUCGCUUCAGGAUGAGCCUGCGUCCUAUUAGUUAGUUGGUGGGGUAAUGGCCUACCAAGGCGACAAUGGGUAGCCGGUCUGAGAGGAUGUACGGCCACACUGGGACUGAGAUACGGCCCAGACUCCUACGGGAGGCAGCAGUGGGGAAUAUUGCGCAAUGGGGGGAGCCCUGACGCAGCGACGCCGCGUGGAUGAUGAAGGCCCUUGGGUUGUAAAAUCCUGUUCUGGGGGAAGAAAGCUUAAAGGUCCAAUAAACCCUUAAGCCUGACGGUACCCCAAGAGAAAGCUCCGGCUAAUUAUGUGCCAGCAGCCGCGGUAAUACAUAAAGGAGCAAGCGUUUAUCCGGGAAUUAUUGGGCGUAAAGAGCUCGUAGGCGGUCUUAAAAGUCAGUUGUGGAAAUUAUCAGGCUCAACCUGAUAAGGUCAUCUGAAACUCUAAGACUUGAGGUUAGAAGAGGAAAGUGGAAUUUCCCGGUGUAGCGGGUGAAAUGCGUAGAUAUCGGGAGGAACACCAGUGGCGAAGGCGGCUUUCUGGUCUAUCUCUGACGCUGAGGAGCGAAAGCUAGGGGAGCAAACGGGAUUAGAUACCCCGGUAGUCCUAGCUGUAAACGAUGGAUACUAGGUGUGGGAGGUAUCGACCCCUUUCUGUGCCGCAGCUAACGCAUUAAGUAUCCCGCCUGGGGAGUACGGUCGCAAGGCUGAAACUCAAAGGAAUUGACGGGGGCCCGCACAAGCGGUGGAGCAUGUGGUUUAAUUCGACGCAACGCGAAGAACCUUACCGGGACUUGACAUUAUCUUGCCCGUCUAAGAAAUUAGAUCUUCUUCCUUUCGGGGAAGACAGGAUAACAGGUGGUGCAUGGUUGUCGUCAGCUCGUGUCGUGAGAUGUUGGGUUAAGUCCCACAACGAGCGCAACCCUUGUGCCUAGUUGCUAACUUGUUUUACAAGU
rnacentral:rRNA from 1 species